GGCGACAGUAGUUGUCUGGUGGUCGUGGUGAUGUUUUCAAGAAGCGCCAAUCACCAAACAAAACAAGCCGUGCAAACCUUCACCACAAGCCCCUACACUGCCUUAUCUUCAUCAAUUAAAGGCUCAAACGUGUAUAUGGAAGCAAUGGAAGGAAGAAGAAGGAGAAAUAAAGGAGGAC